UUUUCCUUUUUCCUUUUCCCUUUUCCUUUUCCUCUUUCUUUUUUCUUUCUCUUUUUUCAACAAAAACAAAAAAUCAUGGCUACACAAUACGAACUGAGAGAUCCACCAACGGACGGAAUUUCAGAUCUUUGUUUCAUUGACAACAAACUUUUGUUUGUUUCUUCUUGGGAUGCUACUGUCUCUUUACAUGAUUCAGAAGUUGGAACAAGAAAACAUACCUAUCACCAUAAGGCAGCUGUUUUAACAUGUUGUUGUUCUGAUCGAUUUCACGGUUACAGUGGUGGUUUGGAUCGAACAGUAAAAAUGAUUGAUUUUAAAACAUCAGAAGAAACUGCUCUUGGAUCUCACGAAAAACCUGUUAAGUGUCUGGA
rnacentral:ribozyme from 13 species